rnacentral:rRNA from 1 species
AUCUCUGUAGAGUCUGCAUAUCAAUAAGCGGAGGAAAAGAAACUAACAAGGAUUCCCCUAGUAACGGCGAGUGAAGCGGGAAGAGCUCAAAUUUGAAAUCUUCAAGGUUUGACCUUGACGAAUUGUAGUUUAAAGAAGUGUUUUCGGUUAGAGGAGUAGUAAAAGUUCUUUGGAAUAGGACAUCAUAGAGGGUGAGAAUCCCGUAUUUGACUAUUCUUUCUAGCUUUGUGAUACACUUUCAAAGAGUCGGAUUGUUUGGGAAUGCAGUCCAAAAUGGGUGGUAAAUUUCAUCUAAAGCUAAAUAUUGGCGAGAGACCGAUAGCGAACAAGUACCGUGAGGGAAAGAUGAAAAGAACUUUGAAAAGAGAGUUAAACAGUACGUGAAAUUGUCAAAAGGGAAGCGUUUGACACCAGUGUUGUUUUUCCGAAAAUCAAUUAAAAAUUGAUUCAUGCCAGGUUGUAUUGACCUUAUCAGCUUGCAAUUUGGUUUUGGGUCUCUUUUUGAUGCACUUUUCGGUUAACAAGUCAACAUCAAUUUCCUUUGCUGUAAAAAGGUAAGAGGAAGGUGGCUUCAAUUUCGGUUGAAGUGUUUAUAGCCUUUUAUCUCUGCAGUCGGGGAGAUUGAGGUCUGCAGCGUAGAUCCUUCGGGGCUAGAUACAUUUAUGCUAGUUAUAGCUUUUCAUAGACAACUUGUUGACUAUGUUUAGUCAUGUAGCUUACUCGUAAGUGCUAUUUUACCUACGCUUAGGAUGUUGAAGACUCUACAGAGAUA